rnacentral:tRNA from 1 species
AUCGUUUAACGGAAAAACAAUUCACUCAUAAUGAAUCACUCCGGGUUCGAGUCCCGGU